rnacentral:lncRNA from 1 species
CGAUAACAUGUGACUUUCUCGGCGCCACCUGUCAAUCGUUGCGGCGAGGUGACGUCACGACAUGGCGGACGUUGUGUUGUGAAGAGAAGACGAAAACAUCCGAAUCUACGAACGACGAUUCGCAUAGAUGAAACGAUACGGAACACUUAAAAAAUAGACGUACUUAGCGCAUUUAGUGUAAAUAUUCCAAAAAGACAAUCAUCGACAACAUUCCAUUGUUAUCCUUUUUGCAAGGUGAGUGCUAUUUCGAUGCCUUAAGCAGUCACGCCCAUGAAACAAGUGGUUCAGUUCUGUUCACGUUUUUCUUCGAUACCAAAUUAGUAUUAUAAACGAGACAAAAUAAUAAUAAACUAUAAACUUGUACGAAUAAUCAACCAAUGUAUGUUGUAGUUGUUUACACGUAAACAGUAUAAAAGAGCAAAGUGUAUAUUGACACGGCAUGAUUCGUUUCAGAUUCGAAUAUGAUAUUUAUAUCCACUUUAUUAAAUGUAUUCAUUUAAUCAUUUCAAAUACUAUCGUCUGUCGAUUUUCUUUUCUAAAUAAAAUGGGAAUAUUUUAUUGUAAAUGUUUUUUUGAACGCAGUAUUCCCUAUAAAACGUUGAUAACAUCACUUGAAUAUCAAAUAGGUCUUUUACAUGUUCUCCUUUUAGAAUGAAAACAUGUUUGGUGUUGUACCAUGCCGAUUGGUAACUGCCUGGAGUAGUAGAUCUGUGUACAUUCUAUUUUUGAAAUCGGUUUAUCAUAUUUGCAUUUUUUGCUUGUCUUAUUGCUUUUGAUUUUGAUGGUGAAUAUAAUCUCUGUAGAGUUUGAAGUAGAAGCUUAAACAAUUAUAUAAAAACAGCUGCUGAAACAAUUUUAAUUAUGUAAUGAUUAAAGCUGGAAUAAUGCAUAAUGUGAAUGACAUAUGCAGAAAACAUUGUUUAUACUUUUUGACUC